GCUCAUUUAGUAUAUAUACAUUGUACGUUUGCCUUCCAAACAAAAAGUUUUCGUAAUGAAAAGUGAGUA
rnacentral:tRNA from 1 species